CUGCAUUGUAAACGGUACACAUCAGCAACUCUUCUGUUGUAUUUCUGACAAAGCAGCUGCCCAAGGAGUGUUAAAAGUACUGCAGUAUUAAACUGCACUUGUCAUUACCACAGUAAUCUUAUAGAUCACAACUUUAAAAGUCAUAUGU